CCAUCACUCUUACUUUUGGUUAACUAAAUCCUUCCACUUCAUCCACUAAUUUCUACUUUUAUACACAACCAUUCACAAUAUAGCUAAGUAGGUGAUAAUAGAGAACCUUUUCUCCAAAGAAGAAUAAAUAAUGUUUGCUUCAAGAGAAAGUAACCUUGUGAGUUAGCUAGCAAGUCUCCUAUAAAAGGAACUCAAAGGUUUAAGAGACUUAUCCUUAGGCGCUCCUCUUAUUAGUUCUACCACUUACAAGCAGUAAUAAAGAUUUAUGGCUAGUGAUGGACCAAGUUGGGCAGAUCAAUGGGGUGCAGGAGGGAUAGGUGCCAUGGAUGAAGAUGACAGCUAUUAUAAGAGCAACAAAGACAGUGAAAACAACAAGAAAGCCACUAGUUCAUCUUCAUCAGGAAUUGGCAAAGUCAAAGCUGUGGCAGUGGCUGGUGCACAAAAGGUGAAAAAUGGUCCUUCCAUGUUGAUCAAAUGGGUUAGGAGCAAAUCCCAGAAGAAACAUCCCUCCAUUUCAUGAAAUAAGGAUUAUCUAGUCUUUAUCUUGCCUUCUGUAAGAGGAUUUCAGAUCAAACAUGUCUAUUUAUGGGUUGUUAUGCUUCCUGGUAGUAGUUUGUUUCCGGAGUUUAAGGUCAUGCUGUAAAGAAUAUGUAUGCAAUCAUUACUAAUAAGGUAAUUACAAAUUGUUCUCUCUAA